rnacentral:tRNA from 1 species
GGAUUAUAGCUCAGUGGUAGAGUGUGUGCUUAGCAUGCAUGAGGUCCUGGGUUCAAUCCUCAGUACCUCCA